GUCUUCUAUUUUCCUUAAUUUUUCUCUAGGGAACACUGGAACGACACUGCUUAAAUUGAAGCACAGUGUGCGAAUGACCUGCUACGCUCGGAACUGUUAUCACCAUUCGGGAAGAAAUCAGGUAAGAAUGGAUUGUGUGUGGCGCUUCACCGCAUGUGGACUAGAGUAGAUCUAGGAACAUCAGACAAGAAGCCACGUAUGCGAAACCCUGCGGAUAGCCCAUAUGUAAGUUGUUCCUCAAUGUUUCUGUUGUUGCAUUUUCGUAGUUUACGUGUAAUACUUUGUCACCGCGGUCUCGACAUUAUGUAUACCUAUACAUUUGUCUCGUGGCAGUCUGCGUGCUAUUUUGUUUGUGCAACUAUGUGUUGUAUUCAUUUGUCGCGCUGCCUGGAUGUUUUUUUUUUUUUGCAAUGAUAUUCUGAGCCAAGUCAGUGAAUCUAUCCUUCCUGUCCUCAUGCUUCCUUGGGUGGCUCUAAAGCGUAUCUUAGAGGAAUAUUUAGCUUCAGAUUCCCGCAUGGAACAGAUGGUGAACUUUUUUUCCAGAUACGGAGGAACGGACACCGG
rnacentral:lncRNA from 1 species